rnacentral:rRNA from 1 species
CUAUGCGCCUUGCCAGCCCGCUCAGUCAGAGUUUGAUCCUGGCUCAGAAUCAACGCUGGCGGCGUGCCUCAGACAUGCAAGUCGAACGAUUAAGACUCCCUUCGGGGAGUGCAUAAAGUGGCGCACGGGUGAGUAACACGUAAGUAAUCUACCUUCGAGUGGGGAAUAACGUUCGGAAACGGACGCUAAUACCGCAUAAUGCAGCGGCAUCGCAAGAUGACAGUUGUUAAAGAUUUAUCGCUUGAAGAGGAGCUUGCGGCAGAUUAGCUAGUUGGUAAGGUAACGCUUACCAAGGCGACGAUCUGUAUCCGGUCUAAGAGGACGGUCGGACACACUGACACUGAAUAACGGGUCAG